rnacentral:rRNA from 1 species
GACGUAGGGCGCGAGCGUUGUCCGGAUUUAUUGGGCGUAAAGAGCUCGUAGGCGGCUUGUCGCGUCGUUCGUGAAAACCUGCAGCUCAACUGCGGGCUUGCGGACGAUACGGGCAGGCUGGAGUUCGGUAGGGGAGACUGGAAUUCCUGGUGUAGCGGUGAAAUGCGCAGAUAUCAGGAGGAACACCGGUGGCGAAGGCGGGUCUCUGGGCCGAUACUGACGCUGAGGAGCGAAAGCGUGGGGAGCGAACAGG